GAUGAACGCUGGCGGCGUGCCUAAUACAUGCAAGUCGAGCGAACGGACGAGAAGCUUGCUUUUCUGAUGUUAGCGGCGGACGGGUGAGUAACACGUGGAUAACCUACCUAUAAGACUGGGAUAACUUCGGGAAACCGGAGCUAAUACCGGAUAAUAUUUUGAACCGCAUGGUUCAAAAGUGAAAGACGGUCUUGCUGUCACUUAUAGAUGGAUCCGCGCUGCAUUAGCUAGUUGGUAAGGUAACGGCUUACCAAGGCAACGAUGCAUAGCCGACCUGAGAGGGUGAUCGGCCACACUGGAACUGAGACACGGUCCAGACUCCUACGGGAGGCAGCAGUAGGGAAUCUUCCGCAAUGGGCGAAAGCCUGACGGAGCAACGCCGCGUGAGUGAUGAAGGUCUUCGGAUCGUAAAACUCUGUUAUUAGGGAAGAACAUAUGUGUAAGUAACUGUGCACAUCUUGACGGUACCUAAUCAGAAAGCCACGGAUAACUACGUG
rnacentral:rRNA from 1 species